rnacentral:SRP_RNA from 1 species
GCCGGACGCGGUGGCGCGCGCCUGUAGUCCCAGCUAUUCGGGAGGCUGAGAUGGGAGGAUCGCUUGAGCCCAGGAGUUCUGGGCUGUAGUGCGCUAUGCCGAUCAGGUGUCCGCACUAAGUUCGGCAUCAAUAUGGUGACCUCCCGGGAGCGGGGGACCACCAAGUUGCCUAAGGAGGGGUGAACCGGCCCAGGUCGGAAACGGAGCAGGUCAAAACUCCCGUGCUGAUCAGUAGUGGGAUCGCGCCUGUGAAUAGCCACUGCACUCCAGCCUGGGCAACAUAGCGAGACCCCGUCUCU